rnacentral:tRNA from 1 species
GCCUUCUUAGCUCAGUGGCAGAGCAUUAGUCUUGUAAAUUAAUGGUCAUGAGUUCAAUUCUCAUAAGAGGCA